rnacentral:SRP_RNA from 1 species
UCUAGGAAGCUGCACCGCUUCCUGUCGUCCUUGACACAUUUCCUGUGUUCUUAUGUUUACAAAACGGAGACAAGCACCUCCACCCAGCUAAGCCUGCAUCCAGAGACAUGUUUCUGAGUCUUUGCUCGUCAUCUGUUGAUAGAAACAUGUCUCUGGAUGCAGGCUUAGCUGGGUGGAGGUGCUUGUCUCCCCCUUGUAAACAUAAGGACACAGGAAAUGUGU